CAAGCGUUAUCCGGAAUCAUUGGGUUUAAAGGGUCCGUAGGCGGGCAUAUAAGUCAGUGGUGAAAUGCUGUGGCUCAACCAUAGCACUGCCAUUGAUACUGUAUGUCUUGAAUUAUUGUGAAGUGGUUAGAAUAUGUAGUGUAGCGGUGAAAUGCUUAGAUAUUACAUAGAAUACCGAUUGCGAAGGCAGAUCACUAACAAUAUAUUGACGCUGAUGGACGAAAGCGUAGGUAGCGAACAGGAUUAGAUACCCUGGUAGUCCACGCCGUAAACGAUGAGUGCUAAGUGUUAGGGGGUUUC
rnacentral:rRNA from 14 species